UACCAGCUGAACUUGAUUUAGAUCCUGGCUGGAGCCUUCCCUGAAGGGUGUGGUGUGAAAGCCCAGCAGUUUGCUCUGACAUAACAGCACCUAUCUGGAAGAUCACCAACAGAUAGAAAAGAAAAUGACAAACCAUGUGCAUGGAAAAGUGGAGAAACUCUGAGGGUGAUGACUACUGGUGAUGACUAGAAUAGUCAAUGUUGUUUGGCCGUGCCCCACAGAUUGCGGGAUCUUAGUUCCUCCACAGGGCAUGGAACCUGUGCCCCCUGUAGUGGCAAUGUGGAGUCCUAACCACUGGAUGGCCAGGGAAUUCUUAAGAUUUUCUAUUUCUUCAUGGUUCAGUUUUGAUAGGUUGUAUGUUUCUAGGAAUUUAUCCAUUUCUUCUAGGUUGUCAAAUUUGUUGGCAUAUAGUUAGUUGUUCAUGGUAGUCUCUUAUGAUACUUUGUAUUUCUGUGGUAUCAGUUCUAAUGUUUCCUCUUUCAUUUCUUAUUUUAUUUGAGUCCUCUUUCUUUUUUUCUUGGUGAGUCUAGUUAAAGGCUUUUCAGUUUUGUUUAGUUUUUCAAAAAAUAGCUCUUAUUUUCAUUGAUCUUUUCUAUUUUCUUUUUAGUUCCUAUUUCAUUUAUUUCUGCUCUCAUCUUUGUUAUUUCAUUACAUCUAACUUAGGGCUUCAUUUGUUCUUCUGUUUCUAGGUCCUUGAGGCAUAAAGUUAGGUUGUUUAUUUGAUUUUUUAAAUUUGUUUGUUUUCAGAGUUUGGUAUUUAUUACUAUGAACUUCCUUCUUAGAACUGCUUUUGUUGCAUCCCAUAAAUUUUGGUAUGUUAUAUUUCCAUUUCUGUUUGUCUGAAGGAUACACCCCCACAAACAAACUUGUCUGUAACCUAAAGCUAAAUAAUUGUUUUUUCUUGUCUGUAUUUGCCUCUUUCUUAUUGUCAUCUUAUUCACCAGAACUUAAUGUAAGUAGAUUUCUUAGAAUUGAGAUAUUUAUUGGUUUUGUAUUUGUCAUCCUUAGAAAUGUUAAUUAAAUAUUUUGUAUUGGUAAUAUAAAUGUAUGUACAAUGUGUGCAUGUAUGUAUUUUAGGGUGUGAAAGGGCUGUGCUUUGUAUAUGAAAGUUUCUGUGUCAUCAUGCUAAAUAUGUCCAUUUAGAGAAAAAAAAACCUAACAAACGUCUCUAUAACAUUUUGCCUUAUUUUUUUUGCUGCAUAUUCUUUCACUGCUUCUUCAUAUUACAAUGGU